rnacentral:tRNA from 1 species
GUUUAAAUAGCUUAUUUAGAGUUUAAUAUUGAAGAUAUUAAGGAAGUAUUUAUUAUUUUUAAACA